rnacentral:rRNA from 1 species
UACGUAGGUGGCAAGCGUUAUCCGGAUUUAUUGGGUGUAAAGGGCGUGUAGGCGGGAGCGCAAGUCAGAUGUGAAAACUCAGGGCUCAACCCUGAGCCUGCAUUUGAAACUGUGUUUCUUGAGUGCUGGAGAGGCAAUCGGAAUUCCGUGUGUAGCGGUGAAAUGCGUAGAUAUACGGAGGAACACCAGUGGCGAAGGCGGAUUGCUGGACAGCAACUGACGCUGAGGCGCGAAAGCGUGGGGAGCAAACAGG